rfam:Heligmosomoides polygyrus genome assembly, scaffold: HPBE_scaffold0001857
GCGCUGGUGGUGUAAGGCAUAGCAUCGGUGCCCGGAAAGCAGAAGGUGCGGGUUCGAGUCCCGCCCGGCGCA